AGAGUUUGAUCCUGGCUCAGAUUGAACGCUGGCGGCAUGCUUUACACAUGCAAGUCGAACGGCAGCACGGGUGCUUGCACCUGGUGGCGAGUGGCGAACGGGUGAGUAAUGCACCGGAACGUACCCAGUAAUGGGGGAUAACACAUCGAAAGAUGUGCUAAUACCGCAUACGCCCUGAGGGGGAAAGCGGGGGAUCGUAAGACCUCGCGUUAUUGGAGCGGCCGAUGCCGGAUUAGUUAGUUGGUGAGGUAAGAGCUCACCAAGGGGACGAUCCGUAGCUGGUCUGAGAGGACGACCAGCCACACUGGGACUGAGACACGGCCCAGACUCCUACGGGAGGCAGCAGUGGGGAAUUUUGGACAAUGGGCGCAAGCCUGAUCCAGCCAUGCCGCGUGAGUGAAGAAGGCCUUCGGGUUGUAAAGCUCUUUCGCAAGGAAAGAAAACUUAUCU
rnacentral:rRNA from 1 species